UACAGAGGGUGCAAGCGUUGUUCGGAAUUAUUGGGCGUAAAGGGUGCGUAGGCGGUGCGGUAAGUCUGUUGUGAAAGCCCCGGGCUCAACCUGGGAAUGGCAAUGGAUACUGGCGAGCUAGAGUGUGUCAGAGGAUGGUGGAAUUCCCGGUGGUAGCGGUGAAAUGCGUAGAGAUCCGGAGGAACACCGGUGGCGAAGGCGGCCUGCUGGGCCGACCCUGGACGCUGAGGCGCGAAAGUGUGGGGAGCGAACAGG
rnacentral:rRNA from 1 species